rnacentral:rRNA from 1 species
GAUGAACGCUGGCGGCGUGCCUAACACAUGCAAGUCGAACGAUGAAGCCCAGCUUGCCGGGGGGUUUAGUGGCGAACGGGUGAGUAACACGUGAGUAACUUGCCCUUAACGCUGGGAUAAGCCUGGGAAACGGGGCUUAUUACCGGUAAGGAGCGUGCACCACAUGGGGGGGGCUGGGAAGAUUUAUCGGUUUUGGCUGGACUCGCGGCCUAUCAGCUUGUUUGUGGAGAAGUGGCACACCGAGGCGGCGGCGGAUAGCCUGCCUGGGAGGGAGACCACCCACAAGGGGCCUGCGGCAGGGCCCAGUCUCCAACGGUGGGCAGCGGUGGGAAAUAUUGCCCAAUGGGCGCAAGCCUGAUGCAGAGGCGCCGCGUGUGGGAAGACGGCCUUCGGGUUGUAAACCUCUUUCAGUAGGGAAGAAGCGAAAGUGACGGUACCUGCAGAAGAAGCACCGGCUAACUACGUG